GGGGCCAGCACCACCACCCCAUGUGCUUCUGUGGAAACCAUGCCUAUGGCUGUUCUUUGUAUUUUACACUGACCUGUUUUAUUAUCUGAUUCUGGCUGAACAGAGUGAGCUUGAAGCACGUGCAUUUAACACUGGUGGGAGCACACGCAGAGCUGAAUCUUCCCCUAGUGUGCAUCAGUCUGGCAACACUGCCUCCUUGAGCUGUGGGAGCUCCCGUCAUUUACAUCAGCUGAAAAUCUGUUCCAGCAGCUACACUGAAGGCUCUUGAAGGUCUGCUCAGGAGCCUUGUGCAUCAAUUUUUUGCUGAGGAAACCAGAUGCAGCUGGGAAGCAUUCUCUGGAUACUUUAUUUACGUGUCCAUGUGUUGCUUCAGAAGGAGAGAUGGUCACAGACUGCAGGCAGGAAACCUCCUACUCCUGGGAUCUCAGCCCAAACACUUCUUCCUGGUUCCCAUGGAACAGUUCUGCCCAAUAAUUCAGUCUGGUAAAGCAAUCAAAAUGGAACCCAAAUGGCUUGUGAUGGUUUCCUACUUGGUGGACUAAAAUCCUCUAGCAGUAAGAACGGCAGCAUUUAUUCCAAAAUUAAAACCUUGUACUCAUGUAAAGGGAAUGGACCUGUAAAUCUCCUGCCCCCGCAGUCAUUGGUAGGGCAGGGCCAUGGAUUGCAAGGACACAUUACAGCACAGAGCGAGGACUGCCUGCUGCCGCAGAGAUAAGUGCAAAUUGGCACGACAGGAUUGUCAUCGCAUGUCCCUAGGCUGGUGCCUUGUUAAGGUCCCGUGAGCGCUUCCUAAGGAACCCCAAGCAGUCACACAAUACCAUGCCAUGCUGCUUGCUGAGAAAGGGGUUUGAGAAAGGAAGCUGGGCUGCUGGGAUCUGUGCAUGGCCAUGCUGCUCUUCUCCUAGUCAAGAGGUCCUGAAAUCUUUGCCCCAGUAUGGCGGCUCCAUGACGCGUGGCAGCGCAGUUUGUGCCUUGCAGCAGAGGUGGUGCCAGGGAGCAGCAUGGAGCUGGUGCAGAGGUAUGUGCUCCUGCAGACCUCAUAUACCGGGCUUGGUCUCUUUUUCCUGGGGACAAAUAACAGUGGCUGGUGCAGACAGAGCUGAACUGUGGCCUCAGGUGUUCCUCAGAUCUCUUGUGCCUGUGUUUCGGUGCAAUCCGCCCUGGGAGCUGCUGCAGCACUGAAGGGUUUCUGUGGCUCACUGCUGCAGAAGGGAUGGGAGCCUGCGAGGUGGCUCAGCAUGGCAGGAGUGUCCGCAUGGGACCUGCCUGCUGGAAACGACGAUAAUAUCAUUGCUCAAGGCAAGGGGUCACUUGAGUUUGUCAGCUGAGAGGGAAUAUUUGCUCUGCACUGCGUGUCAGCCGUCUGGGGGAUGGCUGCAGGUUGGGCUGUCUGUCAGGGAGAGGUUAAAGGUGUACUUAAACUUGGAUGCUGGAGGAAAUAAAUGCUCAAGGACCUCUCUGACUGCUCCUUUUUCAUUAUGUGUCUGAUGUGCAAAAUAAUGGAAGCAGAUAACCCUAGAGA